AAAGGGAUAGCUGGGUCAAAUGGUGGUUCCAAUCUCAAUUUUCCAAGAAAUCUCCAUACUGCUUUUCAUAUUGACUGCACCAAUUUGCAGUCCCACCAGCAAU
rnacentral:pre_miRNA from 1 species